AGUGAACGCUGGCGGUAGGCCUAACACAUGCAAGUCGAACGGCAGCACAGUAAGAGCUUGCUCUUACGGGUGGCGAGUGGCGGACGGGUGAGGAAUACAUCGGAAUCUACUUUUUCGUGGGGGAUAACGUAGGGAAACUUACGCUAAUACCGCAUACGACCUACGGGUGAAAGCAGGGGAUCUUCGGACCUUGCGCGAUUGAAUGAGCCGAUGUCGGAUUAGCUAGUUGGCGGGGCAAAGGCCCACCAAGGCGACGAUCCGUAGCUGGUCUGAGAGGAUGAUCCGCCAGACUGGAACUGAGACACGGUCCAGACUCCUACGGGAGGCAGCAGUCGGGAAUAUUGGACGAUGGGCGCGAGGCUGAUCCAGCAAUACCGCGUGAGUGAAGAAGGCCUUCGGGUGGUAAAGCCCUUUUGUUGGGAGAGAAGAACAGCAGGUUAAUACCCCGCUGUUCUGACGGUACCCAAAGAAUAAGCACCGGCUAACUUCGUG
rnacentral:rRNA from 1 species